GGCUCCGCGCCCGGCCCGCCUCCUGCGGGUGCCGGCUCCGUCGAGCUUGGGAGAUGCUGCGGCCGCCGCCGUGGCGGUGGUGCACGACGCUCCGGGGUUCGCCCGCUCCGCCGCCGCCUCGUGCCCCCCGAGCCGAGCCAUGCUGCGGGGAGCCGCGCUGCGAGCCUGGCUGCUGGCGGCGCUCCUGGCGGGGUCCCGGGCCGUGAGCGGACGCCUGCUGAGCGGGCAGCCGGUGUGCCGGGGAGGGACCCAGAGGCCUUGUUAUAAAGUCGUCUACUUCCAUGAUGCUUCUAGAAGAAUGAACUUUGAGGAAGCCAGAGCUGCCUGCAGGAGGGAUGGGGGCCAGCUAGUCAGCAUGGAGUCUGAAGAUGAACAGCGAUUGAUAGAAAAGUUCAUUGAAAACCUCCUGGCAUCUGAUGGUGAUUUCUGGAUUGGGCUCAGAAGACAUGAGGGGAAACAAAACAAUAGCACAGCUUGCCAGGAUCUUUAUGCUUGGACUGAUGGCAGCACAUCAGCAUUCAGGAACUGGUAUGUGGAUGAGCCUUCCUGUGGCAGCGAAGUCUGUGUGGUCAUGUACCAUCAGCCAUCGGCACCCGCUGGCAUCGGGGGCCCCUACAUGUUCCAGUGGAAUGACGACCACUGCAACAUGAAGAACAAUUUCAUUUGCAAAUACUCCGAUGAAAAACCAACAGCUCCUUCCACAAGGCCUGUGGGUGCAGGAAUAGAGCCAGCAACACCUACAUUUUCAGAAGACACACAGAAAGAAGAGGACAAAGAAACAUUUAAAGAAAAUAAAGAUGUUGCCUUAAAUCUUGCCUACAUCCUGAUUCCCAGCAUCCCGCUUUUCCUCCUGCUUGUGGUCACCACAUUUGUAUGUUGGAUGUGGAUCUGUAGAAGGAGGAGAAGGGAGGAGUCAGGCCCCACCACAAAGGAGCCACACGCCAUCUGGCCGUCCCCUCACUCCGAGAACAGCCCCGACCUAGAGGUUUACAGUGUCAUACGAAAACAGAGUGAAGCGGACUUAGCUGAGACCCGGCCAGACCUGAAGAACAUUUCCUUCCGAGUGUGUUCAGGAGAAGCCACACCUGACGACAUGUCUUGUGACUAUGACAACAUGGCUGUGAACCCAUCUGAGAGUGGAUUCGUGACUCUGGCAAGCACGGAGAGUGGCUUUGUGACCAAUGACAUUUAUGAGUUCUCCCCGGAACGAAUAGGGAGGAGCAGGGAGUCUGGGUGGGUGGAAAAUGAAAUAUAUGGUUAUUAGGGCACACAGAAGGAAGCUUGGACUGAUAAGAAAGGAAAAGAAAAGAGAAUCAAAAUUCUCCUAUUUUUCAUAAGAGAAUCAAAUCAAAUAAAAAGCAGGAAGCAGAAUGUUAGUCAGUCUGUGUCUACAGCCCUUCCUCCGCCUGUGGCCUCGGGGGACCCUUUUUUCUUUCUCUUGACAUCCAAACUUGGAAAUAUCCAACUUGGAAAUACUUUAGAAACUAAAAAUGAAAUUGCAGUUGGGGCUCGUAGGCCUGUGUUCUCAGCCCUGGUAUUGCAUGUUUGAUUCUGUUUAAGCUAUUUAUCGCAGCAAUAAAAUAAUACUAUUUUACUGAUAAUAAUAUGAUCAGAAUUAUAAUAUGCUGGUAAUUUUGUUUUAGGUAUCUAUUUCAAAUAUUUUUGGACAGAAAUCCAGAGAAAAGUUUCUUGGCCUAAAACCAGUUAUUUAGACACUGAUGAUCUGAGCACCAUUAAUCACCAGCAACCUCUCUCUAACAGCUUAAUAAUCGGGAUCAUUUAACUAUUCCUUGGGUAUCUUAUUUCUGAGUAGUUUCUAACUUCUGGGUCAGAGCAGUAAGGAGUACCAUUACUGCCCAAUUACCUGCCUUUUUUGGGCAGACAACAGUGUGGAGAACAAAACAUUACUUAGGCAGACUUUAGGGAAGUAUAUUUUCAGUUACCACGUUUCAAGCAAAAAUAGUGACCACACUGUCUGAAGGACUGAACUGCUGUUCUGAAAUGUUCAGCUUCCCAUUUUGCUUCAAACUACCUGUCUCUCUGAUCUGUCCCUUGAUCCUCUCUAUGUCCCUUUCCUCUCCUCGGUGCCCUUACUCAGCUACCAAACACCUCAGGGCUGGGAUUCUAUCUGCCUAUAGACAUUGUACCUCCUAUACUCAAGGCAGAAAUCAGCAUGGAGUAUACAAACAGUAUUUGUUAAAUCGAUGAACAAUUCAUCUUUCAAACUAUAAAGCACCCUAAAUCUUUCAACUUAAAAGUUUGUAGAGCCUGUUUUUCCUACUCUACCGGGAUGAAGGAGGUAACUGAGUUGUCUGAGUUUAAAAAUCACUCCUGUAGUCCAAAGAAAAAGAAGCAUAGUAAUAAGUAAAGUCAAGUUGGAUACUGUAUGAAUAACUUACUCUAAUUAUGUCCCUGCACCUUGAAAUGAGGAUAU